CAGGCAUAUGCACACGCUACAGCGGCAAGGGCUAGGGCGACGCUUGACAUGCACCUAAAAUUGCCUUCCCCCGAUAAUGCUGAGGUUCUUUUGGGAAUAGAGUGGACAUUCCUCUCUGGUCGAUGUCCCGAGUUUAGGACCUCGUAAUCAAGACGAAUGUCCUUUCCACCUGAGUCGUAGGCUAGGCUAAGCAGAGUAGCGUGUGCUUGUUAUUCAGCCAAACAGUUGAAACACGGAGAUCUCGCUCAAAUUAUCCUUCCAAGGUACUGCGGCCAUUCAUUCCACCCACCUGUUUUGUGGACAGAGCUAGACAGACAGAGAGAGGUAGAGACAGGGAGAGGAUUUCCAACAUCUGGAUUUACUGAUUGUUUCCAGAGGAGCUGAGGAGUGUACCAGCUGGACGCCAGGCAGGGAGGGCUACCGCUGGCAUAGAGACCAGGAAAGGAGGUUGGUUUGGCAACAGUGCUGGGAUCAAUGCAAGUUGUGUUGUGAAUUUCAGCAAAAGAAGACAAGCCAGGUGCCGUACGUCUGUCGCACUUCUGGGAAGAAAACUGCUAUUGCAUAGGGUAAAAUAUGAAGUCGUGGUGUCUUGUCAUAUUGGCCUUCAGCGCAGCAGUAAUGUCCGUGACUGCACAGCAACA